rnacentral:misc_RNA from 1 species
GAUGAAGAACGCAGCAAAAUGCGAUAAGUAAUGUGAAUUGCAGAAUUCAGUGAAUCAUCGAAUCUUUGAACGCACAUUGCGCCCGCUGGUAUUCCGGCGGGCAUGCCUGUUCGAGCGUCAUUUCAACCCUCAAGCCCCCGGGUUUGGUGUUGGGGAUCGGCUCUGCCCUUCUGGGCGGUGCCGCCCCCGAAAUACAUUGGCGGUCUCGCUGCAGCCUCCAUUGCGUAGUAGCUAACACCUCGCAACUGGAACGCGGCGCGGCCAUGCCGUAAAACCCCAACUUCUGAAUGUGGACCUCGGAUCAGGUAGGAAUACCCGCUGAACUUAAGCAUAUCAAUAAGCGGAGGA